AUGUUUUGUCCUUUCCUUUGGUCUAUGAGAGAAACCAGCGCCCUUGAGAAAACCCUACUUCUUCUCCUGCCGAUCUCCUCGUUCGUCAUCCUUCUCCAAAGGCACCACUUCGAUCGGUGAUUACCCAGUGAAGGCAUGCAGAGCUUCUCCUCCGCUGAUGAUCGAACAUCACCAGUGCUACUUUUCUUCCUCUCUCUUGCUCCCUCUCUGGCGCUAUAUGGAUUCAAAAUCACAAUCAAGGGACAGGGGACAAAAUAAGCACUAAUAAACUGUACAUGAGGAUAAAAUGUUAAUUGACUCAAUAGUUGAGUUAUCUACAAAUCCUUGUUGGACUAUAGAAAAUGGGUUCAGAAACGGGUACCAAAAUCAAUUGGAAAGAAUGAUAAAGGAGAAGAUUCCUCAAACAACACUGAAGAUCGUCUCCAAUAUCGAGUCUCGAGUGAAAUUAUUUAGAAACAAAACCAUUGCAAUUACCGACAUACUACGAAUAAGUGGUUUUGUUUGGAAUCAUGAACAAUACACUAUCGAAUGUGAUAAAAGUUCAUAUUACGAGUAUGCUAAGCUGCAAGUCUUUAUGGAAAAUCUUUUCCAUUUUUCAUUGACCUUGUCCAAGUAUUUGCAAAAGAUAGAGCAUAAGGCACUGCAUGAGGAGAUAUUGGUGAUGAUGUAGAGCAAUAUCAGCAUGAGAACAUUAAUUUGAAUGAUGACAAGGGUUUCUUUGAAAUGGUCACUGAUGAUUUUUUUUAUGUCAACAGAAGAAGCCAUUCCUACUUAGUCACCUAUGGUAUUUGAUGCUGGUACCUUAAAAAUGUGUCGUGAGAGGAAAGUUCCAGCAACAAACCAAUCAUUUGAUAAACUAAAUAACAAUUUGAAUAACUUUGCAGAAAUAGUUGGUCAAGGAUUUCAGGCAAUAGCUGAUUCUACAACUCGCAAAGAAGCUUGUGAAGCAGCGCUUGAAGUAGCCCUCGAAAAGGCCCAUAAAUUUGCUUUUGCAAAGCGUGACGAAAAGAUAAGAUUGCUAUGUGAAAUUAUAUUUGAAAUUGAUGGGUUGACGGACGAUGAGGCAAUGUUCAUCUUGCAAGAAUUACCUAAUAAUGAAACAUAAAUGAUAAUCUUUUUGAACUUACGGGACAGUAAGAAAUUGCGCUUUUGUAGCGUAUUUCUAACGAGAUCAUGGUUUUCCCCA